rnacentral:rRNA from 1 species
CCUACGGGCUGCAGCAGUCGAGAAUCAUGCACAAUGGGGGAAACCCUGAUGGUGUGACGCCGCGUGAGUGAAUGAAGGUCUUGGGAUGGUAAACUCCUGUCAUGUGGGAGCAAAUUAAAAAGAUAGUACCACAAGAGGAAGAGACGGCUAACUCUGUAACAGCAGCAGCGGUAAUACAGAGAGCUCAAGCGUUGUUCGGAAUCACUGGGCGUAACGCGUGCGUAAGCUGUUUCGUAAGUCGUGUGUGAAAGGCGCGGGCGCAACCCGCGAACGGCACAGGAUACGGGGAGACUAGAGUAAUGGAGGGGUAAGCGGAAGUCGUGGUGUAGCAGUGAAAUGCGUAGAUA